rnacentral:rRNA from 1 species
AUUGAACGCUGGCGGCAGGCCUAACACAUGCAAGUCGAGCGGAUGAAGGGAGCUUGCUCCUGGAUUCAGCGGCGGACGGGUGAGUAAUGCCUAGGAAUCUGCCUGGUAGUGGGGGAUAACGUCCGUAAACGGGCGCUAAUACCGCAUACGUCCUGAGGGAGAAAGUGGGGGAUCUUCGGACCUCACGCUAUCAGAUGAGCCUAGGUCGGAUUAGCUAGUUGGUGUGGUAAAGGCCUACCAAGGCGACGAUCCGUAACUGGUCUGAGAGGAUGAUCAGUCACACUGGAACUGAGACACGGUCCAGACUCCUACGGGAGGCAGCAGUGGGGAAUAUUGGACAAUGGGCGAAAGCCUGAUCCAGCCAUGCCGCGUGUGUGAAGAAGGUCUUCGGACUGUAAAGCACUUUAAGUUGGGAGGAAGGGAAGUAAGUUAAUACCUUGCUGUUUUGACGUUACCAACAGAAUAAGCAACGGCUAACUUCGUG